rnacentral:rRNA from 1 species
ACUCCUACGGGAGGCAGCAGUGGGGAAUAUUGGGCAAUGGGGGAAACCCUGACCCAGCGACGCCGCGUGAGUGAAGAAGGCCUUCGGGUUGUAAAGCUCUGUUCUUGGGGACGAUAAUGACGGAUGCCCGGGAGGAAGCCACGGCUAACUACGUGCCAGCAGCCGCGGUAAUAAUAA